UAUAUAAACCGAGUUUUUCACCGAAUGCUUCUUGCCCGAGUUCAUGGUACCUAUCGAACCGUUUUCCAGGUACCAUUUCAUGCAUUUCUACCAUCUGCCAUAGUGUGUACAAUGUUAUUACCCAUGACAGAAUAAGUAUUACCACACCUGGUCCCCUGUUUUCAACACCAAUAUCUCUGGUUAGUAUGUUUUAAAGAUCUAUAUUAUGUUUUUUUUGUAGUGAAAUAUUUUUAGUUUUUUAGCUUUUUUAUUUAAUUUUGUUGGUUUACUACAUACCCUGAUCAUUCUUUGUUCUAAAUAUUGCGUUUUACCCAACCUCAUUGGUUAGCAGGGUAUUGAUGGGGUCCGUGAGUUUUCUGAUAACAAGUUCUCAUGGUUACCAAAAAUAAAUGUUUGUUUUGACAGUACAUGCCCUGAUCGAAAAUCUUGUAUGCUUGACUUGAAAGCAGACUGAUUUUGUCUUUAGUUGGUAUUAUCUUGAUUUUCGAUAAAAGUAUUAUUUGGGUUUGUUAACUUAUUGUCGAAGUAUUACCAUCCGAGAUUCGACAUGGCAUAUGGAAGACUUAAAACUCCAGCUCCAACCAUUGCGGUUACAUUGUGGAAAGUGGCAUAAUACCAUUUCGCAUGUCUUGAUGAAGUAAUUGGAAGCCAAUCAUCUAUUGCCUUUUGCUCUGCUGUCCUUUCAUACUGUUAUCACAUAGUUAUGAAGACAAUAAAGGUUAGGUAGUGUUGUUGAUUUGGAUGAUGGCCUAAAUAGAGAUUAAUAUCGUUUGUAGGAGUGGCUUGGUAGUAACAAGACGAAUUUCAUGAAGAUUUCUCCCAUAUCCGUUCCGAUUUUGCUCUCAAUGGCGGUUCUAGGGUUCGAUGUCAAGAACCGCAAGGUGAAAAACAAAGAUCCAGGUAUGUUUUCCUUUUACCUAAUCCUUUGAUUUCAUGGUGGCUGAUGUAUCACGGUUGUCUCCCACAUCACAACCAUGUCUGGUGGCACCAUAUGGAUGAAGAUCGGAGUUCAGAUCUUGCGGUGGACGAGGUUUCAAACUCCGUCUGGGUAAAAAAAA